rnacentral:rRNA from 1 species
AUGUGCGGUCUUCCUAGGCAACACACACGCAGUCUCCUUUCUGUCAUAAACUAUAUACCUCAGCACCCUCAAGGAGAGCCAUGUGGCACACAUACAUGCCUGAGAAAUUCUGCUGCUGUUGCCAUCAUUGAUUGCAUUGUUUACGGUCAAUUAGCGCUGUACAUAAAAUGUGCCCGUUCCCUCUUGCUGGGCAGAUGGAUGCACCCAACUGCACGUUUUACUUCUAAAUACGAGCCAAUGAAUCUGCCCCCAGUCUCUAGCUCACGUUGUCAAGCUCAGCCUGAAGCCCGACAUGUACACCAGAAUUCCGUUCGCCACGUUUUACAACAAUGUAUAGAAGACAGGAAGAGAAAUAUUGACCUGAUUCAGCACAGAUCAAUCUUGGGCAGCUGUUGUUUUUUAUACAGCUUAGUGCCGAUAGGCAUACAAGGAGAUCAAUACAGGUACAAGCAUUGUGUCCAGCUGUACUAUAUAUGGUACCCAAAUCCAAUCUUUACACAAUAG